UCCCAGCGGUUCAAGUCGCAGCCACAAUUAUUGGGUCUAAAAUAUCUGUAGCUUGCUUUGCAAGUCUUUUGUGAAAUCUCUUAUCUCAAAUAAGAGUCGUGCAGGAGAUACUGCAUUGCUAGAGACCGGGAGACGUAAGAAGUACAAUCAAGGUAGUAGUAAAAUAUGUUGAUCUUAAUUGGACUAACAACAGCGAAGGCAUCUUACGAGCACGGAUCUGACAGUGAGAGAUGAAGGCUAGGGUCGCGAAAAG
rnacentral:rRNA from 1 species